rnacentral:rRNA from 1 species
GGGGGGGGGGGGGGGGGGGGGGGGGGGGGGGGGGGGGGGGGGGGGGGGGGGGGGGGGGUGGGGUGGGCGGGUGGCGGACGGGUGAGUAACACGUGAGGAGCCGGCGGUCGAGUUUGGGGUAGCUUCUGGCGACUGGGGCUAGUACCGGAUAGGAGCUCGUGCUGCAGGGUGGGGGUUGGAAAGGGUCGGCGGGUGGGGAGGGACUCGCGGCUUAGCAGCUUGUUGGUGGGGUAGUGGCUUACCAAGGCUUUGCCGGGUAGCCGGCCUGAGAGGGUGACCGGCCACAUUGGGACUGAGAUACGGCCCAGACUCCUACGGGAGGCAGCAGUGGGGAAUAUUGCACAAUGGGCGGAAGCCUGAUGCAGCAACGCCGCGUGCGGGAUGACGGCCUUCGGGUUGUAAACCGCUUUCGCCUGUGACGAAGCGUGAGUGACGGUAAUGGGUAAAGAAGCACCGGCUAACUACGUG